rnacentral:lncRNA from 1 species
UGUGGUAUUGAGCAAAGGAUUGCUCUUAAGUGAAAAAGAGAUUUGUAAAGAGCAAAGGCUUGCUCUAUGAUUGUAAGGGUUUUAAUCUUCACCCAAAGAAGAUUUGAUAGUGGAGUUGAACUCUCAAGGUGGGCCUUGAGGAGAGGACGUAGGCUUGAGAUAGCUGAACCUCUAUAAAUCCUUGUGUUGAUUUUCUUCUUCC